rnacentral:lncRNA from 1 species
GGGACAGGAGAGGAGGGGUGGGACAGGAGAGGAGGGGUGGGACAGGAAAGGAGGGGUGGGACAGGAGAGGAGGGGUGGGGUUAUGAGGAGAGUGGGAUGUUUACUGUUUCCUAUUCCCUAUAUUGUGCCCAUAGAACUCUGGUCAAAGGUAGUACACUAUAUAGGGUGCCAUUUGGAAUACUAUAAAAAAAAAAAUGUCUCAACACUCACGAGCAGGUAUCAUCAUCAACAGUCAAGACUAGUGAAGAAUGAGAAUGUUAUCUAAAGUAGGCCACUACUCGGCUCAGCAGUGGCCUGAAGACAUUCACUAAUAAGUGGUUACAAGUAGUUAUUCGUUUUCUGUCCAUCGUAAUUUACGUUACAUUCAACAAGGGGAGCAAAAAGGACUUGAUACUAAGUCUACGUUUACACACGCAGCCCAAUUCUCAUCUUUUUUUACACUAAUUGUUCUUUUGACCAAUCACAUCGAAUCUUUUCACAUGAGCUGAUCUGAUUGGCUGCGUAUGUGAAAGCAGUCCAUUUAAAUCCACUAAGCUAUUUUGUCGUACAUCCGCCCAGUGUUGUCAUACUUUGAGUCACAUGCUAUGUUAGUCCUGAACAGCACUGCAAACUCUAUUGUUCUUUUAUUUAACUCACAACAAAAACAGAUUGUAUCCAAUUUAUUAUUUAAUAGGCACUUACUAUAGUCAUUUCUUUUUGUAUUUAACCUAUGGAGAUGGAAAACUUGUUUUUUUUAUGAAGUUAAACAUGUGCUCUUUAUGACAGAAUAUUAAAAUGAGGUGAAAUCAAAAGUUAAUUUUGACCAAGUUACACUUCUCAAAAGGCACUGAAUUGGUGGAAUGACCCAAGAGGUGUGAGCUGUGAUUGGAGCUAAUUGGUCAAUCAGGACUUCACUAUAGUCAUUAAGCUGUGAAGCUGAUUGUCCAGAGUUUCUCUGUGGCGACACACACACACACACACUGUCACACUCUUGUCAAAGAGUGAGUGAAAUGUCUUCAUCAAUUUGUACCCAUUAUCAUGUCAAUAGGCAAAGAGGGAGAGAGAGAGGGAGGAGGGGAAGUGGAGGGAACUUCUGUAAUACCAUCUGCACACACACAGACAUCACAAACAUCUUUCUGCCCACCCCUCCCGAGCAGAGCCGUUUAAUUAGACUAUUUCGUUCUCCUGAAAUAGUGUGUUGACAGACAAAGCCUUCAUGUUUAUUAAACAGGAACACAGUAUAUCAGUGUCACGACGUUAGGAGACUGCUGCAUAAUCUCCUGUUAUUUCUCUGUAUACAUUACAACCCAUGGCCUUUCUAUGUAACACAAUCAAGUGGAGCUUGUUUUCCGUAUCAAUUAAAAAUGCAACUGUUAAAAUAUUA